CCCGGAUUGCAGCAUUGUCUGAGCUCAUUUUUUUGGUUCCGGCGGCGGCUUCGCCGCCGCCGGAACCAAAAAAAUAGCGAGUGCGGAAAGCCGGAAAUGUG
rnacentral:misc_RNA from 1 species